GCCCGCUUGGUGGAAUUGGUAGACACACAGGACUUAAAAUCCUGAGAGACGAAAGUCUCGUGCCGGUUCGAGUCCGGCAGCGGGCACCA
rnacentral:tRNA from 1 species